rnacentral:rRNA from 1 species
CCCCUAGAUGUUCUGGGCCGCACGCGCGCUACACUGAACAGUUCAACAAGUCUUAACCUUGGCCGAUAGGUCUGGGUAAUCUUUGAACGCUGUUCGUGAUUGGGAUAGACCUUUGCAAUUAUGGGUCUUCAACGAGGAAUUCCUAGUAAACGCAAGUCAUCAGCUUGCAUUGAUUACGUCCCUGCCCUUUGUACACACCGCCCGUCGCUCCUACCGAUUGAAUGAUCCGGUGAGGCCCCCGGAAUGUGGUCACGGCUUUGGUUCGCCAAACUGAGAUCGCGUGAAGCUGUCCAAACCUUAUCAUUUAGAGGAAGGAGAAGUCGUAACA